rnacentral:tRNA from 1 species
UCUGAGUUCGCCAAGUGGUAAGGCCGGGGACUCUGAAUCCCCUAUCAUAGGUUCGAAUCCUAUACUCAGAACCA